CACACGUUGACCUCGGAUC
rnacentral:rRNA from 1 species